GCCCAUAGUCAAAGAGAAUGAUUGAAAAACGUGAUUUAGAUAACAAGGAAGGAUGUAGCCAUGUUGUCCUAGAUAAUAUCCUACCCUAGCCUGAACCCACAUUUCUAGCUUAAAAAGUCCUUUGAGAUCUCCAACUAUUUACUCUCCUUGUAGUAGUGAUUGAAAAUAGGGGCAAGCCUAUGAUAUGAUAGUAGUUGCAUUGAGAUUUCUUUUGUGAGGGAGAAAGUUCUGAAGCUUAAAA
rnacentral:lncRNA from 1 species